rnacentral:rRNA from 1 species
GAUGAACGCUGGCGGCGUGCCUAAUACAUGCAAGUCGAGCGAACAGAUAAGGAGCUUGCUCCUUUGACGUUAGCGGCGGACGGGUGAGUAACACGUGGGUAACCUACCUAUAAGACUGGAAUAACCCCGGGAAACCGGGGCUAAUGCCGGAUAACAUUUAGAACCGCAUGGUUCUAAAGUGAAAGAUGGUUUUGCUAUCACUUAUAGUUGGACCCGCGCCGUAUUAGCUAGUUGGUAAGGUAACGGCUUACCAAGGCAACGAUACGUAGCCGACCUGAGAGGGUGAUCGGCCAAAAUGGAACUGAGACACGGUCCAGACUCCUACGGGAGGCAGCAGUAGGGAAUCUUCCGCAAUGGGCGAAAGCCUGACGGAGCAACGCCGCGUGAGUGAUGAAGGGUUUCGGCUCGUAAAACUCUGUUAUUAGGGAAGAACAAACGUGUAAGUAACUGUGCACGUCUUGACGGUACCUAAUCAGAAAGCCACGGCUAACUACGUGCCAGCAGCCGCAGUAAGAC